UUGGAGGGCAAGUCUGGUGCCAGCAGCCGCGGUAAUUCCAGCUCCAAUAGCGUAUAUUAAAGUUGUUGCAGUUAAAAAGCUCGUAGUUGAAUUUCGGGAUCAGAGUGUCGGUCGUGCCUCGGUACGAACUGGUAUUAUUGGUUCCUACCUUCUGAAGAACCGCGAUGUCAUUAAUUUGGUGUCGUGGGGAAUCAGGACUGUUACUUUGAAAAAAUUAGAGUGUUUAAAGCAGGCUUACGCUUGAAUACAUUAGCAUGGAAUAAUGAAAUAGGACGUUUGAUUCUAUUUUGUUGGUUUCUAGGAUUGACGUAAUGAUUAAUAGGGAUAGUUGGGGGCAUUAGUAUUCAAUUGUCAGAGGUGAAAUUCUUGGAUUUAUUGAAGACUAACUACUGCGAAAGCAUUUGCCAAGGAUGUUUUCAUUAAUCAAGAACGAAAGUUAGGGGAUCGAAGACGAUCAGAUACCGUCGUAGUCUUAACCAUAAACUAUGCCGACUAGGGAUCGGAUGAUGUUAAUUUUUUAACGACUCAUUCGGCGCCUUACGGGAAACCAAAGUGUUUGGGUUC
rnacentral:rRNA from 1 species